rnacentral:rRNA from 1 species
GAUGAACGCUGGCGGCGUGCCUAAUACAUGCAAGUCGAGCGAACAGACGAGGAGCUUGCUCCUCUGACGUUAGCGGCGGACGGGUGAGUAACACGUGGAUAACCUACCUAUAAGACUGGGAUAACUUCGGGAAACCGGAGCUAAUACCGGAUAAUAUAUUGAACCGCAUGGUUCAAUAGUGAAAGACGGUUUUGCUGUCACUUAUAGAUGGAUCCGCGCCGCAUUAGCUAGUUGGUAAGGUAACGGCUUACCAAGGCAACGAUGCGUGGCCGACCUGAGAGGGUGAUCGGCCACACUGGAACUGAGACACGGUCCAGACUCCUACGGGAGGCAGCAGUAGGGAAUCUUCCGCAAUGGGCGAAAGCCUGACGGAGCAACGCCGCGUGAGUGAUGAAGGUCUUCGGAUCGUAAAACUCUGUUAUUAGGGAAGAACAAAUGUGUAAGUAACUAUGCACGUCUUGACGGUACCUAAUCAGAAAGCCACGGCUAACUACGUG